GCAUCAUGUCACAGGGCUGGAACACUGUCAGCAGCAGCCUCUUUUCAGACCAGUAUUUUGCAUGGAUAUGGUUUCCACCAGUUCCUCAGAAGAAAUUCAGCUCUGGGUUCUGCAGCACAAAAGGGAGUUACGAUGCCUAUCUCCUCAUCUAACUGAAGCAUUGUAGAAAGCUUCAUGAGGGUCUGCAAGACAGGAUUCUUCAUCAUCCUCUCCAUCUCAGGUGUGCAAACAAGAGAGCACAGUGAGGUGGGGUGUUCCAAACAUCAUCUGCAGCUGCAAAAAAGAUACAU